rnacentral:misc_RNA from 1 species
AAAGGUUUGGUCCAUACUUGUGCCAACCUGUUAUUGCAGGAUUAGGAGAAGAUGAUAAGCCUUUUAUUUGCACAAUGGACUCUAUUGGAGCAAAGGAGCUCGCAAAAGAUUUUGUUGUUUCUGGCACUGCAUCUGAAUCACUUUAUGGUGCUUGUGAGGCCAUGUACAAGCCUGACAUGGGACCGGAAGAAUUGUUUGAGACCAUCUCUCAGGCACUGUUGUCAUCUGUAGACCGUGACUGUUUAAGUGGUUGGGGAGGACAUGUUUAUGUUGUGACACCAACUGAAGUGACAGAGAGGAUCUUGAAGGGAAGGAUGGACUGAACACUUGUGGGGUGCUAUACUUGUUCACUAUUGCAUUUCACUGGGAUGACAUUUCACUUGUUUUGAUGAAUACUCAACAUUUCAUAUUUGAUGUUAUCGCAUCGACUUCUCUCCAAGAUUGUUAUUUAAUAGAUUCAGUUGUCUGUCACUAAUGGAUGUUAACAUUCUAGUUAGUUUACAAUCCUCUAUUUGAGCAUCCCAACGAAUU